GAUACGGGACUCAUCCGAGGCCCCGUAAUCGGAAUGAGUACACUUUAAAUCUUUUAACAAGGAUCCAUUGGAGGGCAAGUCUGGUGCCAGCAGCCGCGGUAAUUCCAGCUCCAAUAGCGUAUAUUAAAGUUGUUGCGGUUAAAAAGCUCGUAGUUGAAUCUGUGUGCCACGCUGUCGGUUCACCGCUCGCGGUGUUUAACUGGCAUGAUUGUGGGACGUCCUGCCGGUGGGCUUAGCUUUGGUAAAACAAGGCGGUCCAACUAAUAUCCCAUCGCGGUGCUCUUCACUGAGUGUCGAGAUGGGCCGGUACGUUUACUUUGAACAAAUUAGAGUGCUUAAAGCAGGCUUGUUUUGCCUGAAUACUGUGUGCAUGGAAUAAUAGAAUAGGACCUCGGUCUUAUUUUGUUGGUUUUCGGGACUCCGAGGUAAUGAUUAAUAGGGACAGAUGGGGGCAUUCGUAUUGCGACGUUAGAGGUGAAAUUCUUGGAUCGUCGCAAGACGGACAGAAGCGAAAGCAUUUGCCAAAAAUGUUUUCAUUAAUCAAGAACGAAAGUUAGAGGUUCGAAGGCGAUCAGAUACCGCCCUAGUUCUAACCAUAAACGAUGCCAGCUAGCGAUCCGCCGAAGUUCCUCCGAUGACUCGGCGGGCAGCUUCCGGGAAACCAAAGCUUUUGGGUUCCGGGGGAAGUAUGGUUGCAAAGCUGAAACUUAAAGGAAU
rnacentral:rRNA from 1 species